GGCGCACGGNGUGAGUAAUACGCGGNAUCAUCUACAUUACAGGUGGGGAAUACCCCCGGGAAACUGGGGACAAUACCGCAUAAGCUCGUAAGAGGAAAGCAGCAAUGCGCCGGAAGAGGAGUCCGCGGCUGAUUAGCUAGAUGGUGAGGUAACGGCCCACCAUGGCGAAGAUCGGUAGCCGGCCUGAGAGGGCACACGGCCACACUGGCACUGAAACACGGGCCAUAUUCCUACGGGAGGCAGCAGUGGG
rnacentral:rRNA from 1 species